rnacentral:rRNA from 1 species
CAGUAGCCGCGGUAAUACGUAGGUGGCAAGCGUUGUCCGGAAUUAUUGGGCGUAAAGGGCUCGCAGGCGGUUUCUUAAGUCUGAUGUGAAAGCCCCCGGCUCAACCGGGGAGGGUCAUUGGAAACUGGGAAACUUGAGUGCAGAAGAGGAGAGUGGAAUUCCACGUGUAGCGGUGAAAUGCGUAGAGAUGUGGAGGAACACCAGUGGCGAAGGUGACUCUCUGGUAUGUAACUGACGCUGAGGAGCGAAAGCGUGGGGAGCGGACAGGAUUAGAUACCCCUGUAGUCCCUGUCUCUUAUAC